UACGGGGGGGGCAAGCGUUGUUCGGAAUUACUGGGCGUAAAGGGCUCGUAGGCGGCCAACUAAGUCGGAUGUGAAAUCCCCAGGCUCAACCUGGGAACUGCAUCCGAUACUGGAUGGCUUGAAUUCGGGAGAGGGAUGCAGAAUUCCAGGUGUAGCGGUGAAAUGCGUAGAUAUCUGGAGGAAUACCGGUGGCGAAGGCGGCAUCCUGGACCGACAUUGACGCUGAUGAGCGAAAGCCAGGGGAGCAAACGGG
rnacentral:rRNA from 1 species